GUGUUCGUUCUGUGUAUGUUCAGUUGUGUUACUACGUCUUUUUUUAUUUUUCGGUUGACAAUGUUUUCUCGGAGUAUCAUUCUGCUCUAUCACCCUCUCAGCUAUGUGUUAUUUAUAUAGUGUGUCUUUCUAUGUUGCGAUUUUACAAUAUUGUUUCAUAUAAGGGUGAAGGUUUGGUAACAUUAAAAUGUUUAAAUCCGCUACAAUUGUUUGC
rnacentral:lncRNA from 1 species